rnacentral:rRNA from 1 species
CCUACGGGGUGCAGCAGUGAGGAAUAUUGGUCAAUGGACGAGAGUCUGAACCAGCCAAGUAGCGUGAAGGAUGACUGCCCUAUGGGUUGUAAACUUCUUUUAUAUGGGAAUAAAACGUUCCACGAGUGGGAUUUUGUAUUUACCAUAUGAAUAAGGAUCGGCUAACUCCGUGCCAGCAGCCGCGGUAAUACGGGGGAACAGAGCGUUAUCCGGUUUUAUUGGGGUUAAAGGGUGCGUAGGCGGAAUGCCAAGUCAGCUGUAAAAUCGCGGGGCUCAACCUCGCUCCGCCGUUGAGACUGGCGUUGUUGAGUGGGCGAGAAGUAUGCGGAAUGCGUGGUGUAGCGGUGAAAUGCAUAGAUAUCACGCAGAACUCCGAUUGCGAAGGCAGCAUACCGGCGCCCAACUGACGCUGAAGCACGAAAGCGUGGGUAUCGAACAGGAUUAGAUACCCCAGUAGUC